UGUUACAAAUUUUAUCAAUUUCUACUAUUAAAAACUGGCAUGGCUGACGAAAUAAUCGAAUAGUUAUACUUGGCAUACCACGUGUAUCUUAUGCUGACAUACAUGGACCGGUUUUUAAUAGUAAAAUGGAUGAAAUUUUUAACU
rfam:Gossypium arboreum cultivar AKA8401 contig_1461_5, whole genome shotgun sequence.